UACGGAGGUUGCAAGCGUUGUUCGGAAUGACUGGGCGUAAAGGGAGCGCAGGCGGCCAAGUCAGUCUGAAGUGAAAGCCCGGGGCUCAACCCCGGAAUUGCUUUGGAUACUGCCUGGCUUGAGUAUGCGAGAGGAAAGCGGAAUUCCAGGUGUAGCGGUGAAAUGCGUAGAUACCUGGAGGAACACCGGUGGCGAAAGCGGCUUUCUGGCGCAUAACUGACGCUGAGGCUCGAAAGCGUGGGGAGCGAACGGGAUUAGAUACCCGUGUA
rnacentral:rRNA from 1 species